rnacentral:rRNA from 1 species
AAGGCCUUCGGGUUGUAAAGUACUUUCAGUCGUGAGGAAGGCGGCGUCGUUAAUAGCGGCGUUGUUUGACGUUAGCGACAGAAGAAGCACCGGCUAACUCCGUGCCAGCAGCCGCGGUAAUACGGAGGGUGCGAGCGUUAAUCGGAAUUACUGGGCGUAAAGCGCAUGCAGGUGGUUUGUUAAGUCAGAUGUGAAAGCCCGGGGCUCAACCUCGGAAUAGCAUUUGAAACUGGCAGACUAGAGUACUGUAGAGGGGGGUAGAAUUUCAGGUGUAGCGGUGAAAUGCGUAGAGAUCUGAAGGAAUACCGGUGGCGAAGGCGGCCCCCUGGACAGAUACUGACACUCAGAUGCGAAAGCGUGGGGAGCAAACAGGAUUAGAUACCCCGGUAGUCA